AGUGAACGCUGGCGGUAGGCCUAACACAUGCAAGUCGAACGGCAGCACAGUAAGAGCUUGCUCUUACGGGUGGCGAGUGGCGGACGGGUGAGGAAUACAUCGGAAUCUACUUUUUCGUGGGGGAUAACGUAGGGAAACUUACGCUAAUACCGCAUACGACCUACGGGUGAAAGCAGGGGAUCUUCGGACCUUGCGCGAUUGAAUGAGCCGAUGUCGGAUUAGCUAGUUGGCGGGGUAAAGGCCCACCAAGGCGACGAUCCGUAGCUGGUCUGAGAGGAUGAUCAGCCACACUGGAACUGAGACACGGUCCAGACUCCUACGGGAGGCAGCAGUGGGGAAUAUUGGACAAUGGGCGCAAGCCUGAUCCAGCCACACCGCGUGGGUGAAGAAGGCCUUCGGGUUGUAAAGCCCUUUUGUUGGGAAAGAAAAGCAGCAGAUUAAUACCCCGCUGUUCUGACGGUACCCAAAGAAUAAGCACCGGCUAACUUCGUG
rnacentral:rRNA from 1 species